rnacentral:rRNA from 1 species
UACGAGGGGGGGCAAGCGUUUGUUCGGAAUUAUUGGGCGUAAAGGGUGCGUAGGCGGUUUGGUAAGUCUUAUGUGAAAUCUACAGGCUCAAACUUGUAGUCUGCAUGAGAAACUGCCCGGGCUUGAGUAUGGGAGAGGUGAGUGGAAUUCCUGGUGUAGCGGUGAAAUGCGUAGAUAUCAGGAGGAACACCUGUGGCGAAAGCGGCUCACUGGGACCAAUAACUGACGCUGAUGCACGAAAAGCUAGGGGAGCAAACAGG